UUUUUUGAAAAUUCAAAGUUUUGUAAACAGGAAUUUUAUAAAAAUUACCACAUAAUUGAUGUUCAUGUCAACACCGAAGUGCUGAUUACUGGGCUGGUGAUACCCUCGGGGACGAAACGUCCACCAGCAGAGGCAUCGACCCAGUGGUGUAAAUAGUUAUCAAAGGUAAAAGGAUUAUAAUUUAGUACGCCCCACCAAACAUGCCCAAUCAAACACCAGGAAAUCUGAAUUGCGUCCAAUUGUUGCAGAGGUUAACAGACAAAUUUCAAUUUAAUUAUAUAUAAUGAACAUUUACAAAUGUGAAGCAAGAUCUACAUUUGAAUGUUUGGAUAUACAAUUGCACAGCCACGUCCAAAUGCGAUUGAGUUUUAUUUCGUUGUUCUAUGAGUAGUAGUAUUUCAGUAUAAAUGAAUUGCAUAAUAUUUAUCUGCACUUGUACGAAAGGAGAGCUAAUUUUGUACAUAAAUGCAUAUUGUAAGCAUCCAAUAAAACUGUGACG
rnacentral:lncRNA from 1 species